GGAGAAGUGUCCGAGUGGCCGAAGGAGCACGCCUGGAAAGUGUGUAUCGGGGUAACUCGAUCGAGGGUUCGAAUCCCUCCUUCUCCGCCA
rnacentral:tRNA from 1 species